UGAGAAAGACAACAUCCAGAGAUUAAAGUGAGAGAAAGUUUCAUUGUGUUCUUUGUGAGUGUCUGACGGAGUGUCUGAAGUAGUGUCUGAAGGAGUGUCUGACGGAGUGUUCCAUUGUACUUGGUGUUGUGACAUUGGUGAUGGCGUUACGUGUAGCGGAGUUGUCUGUUGUGGUGUGGUGAUCAAUAUGUAGGUUGGUGUUGGCAUGCUCGUUGGUAUCCUUGGUGUGCGUUAGGUUCUGACGUACUCGGUGACGUACUUGGGUGAAGUACUUGGUGACGUACCUUCAGAGACUUGGAGGUUGAAGCCUAGACUCAGGGGGAGUUUAGCUCAAGGUUGGUUAACCUUGAAGAGUUCAUGUUAUAGAAGAGAGCGGUGAUUCAAGAGGGUUGUGCUUGUAUUACGCUUUUGCAAAUUGGUUGUAAUUUGCUUUCUCAUUAUAGUGAAUUUGAAUACUGGACAAGGUCCCAGGGAGUAGGAAACGAACCUCGUUAACAAACUCUGUGUGUCAUUUACUUACUUCUAUAUAUCUCUGACUCAUCCCCACUUACAAGUGGUAUCAGAGCCAGGUUUCGAUAGAGUUAACGACUAGUUUCGAGUAGAUCAGGGUGAGUGACAGAGACUGCGUCAGGAAGUACGACAGAGUUUGGAAACUCGUCUUGAUAGAGGGAUAUCGAGAAAGGACUUCUAUGACAAAGUCACCGAGAUUCAUCUAAUUAUGGAUAUUGGAAGGUCCGUAUGCAAGCUUUCAUUAGUGGUCUUGAUGAAGAGUGUUGGAGUAUAAUUGAGAAGGUUGGAGUUCUUAAGCCGAGAGAGAAGUGGACUGCUUCAAAGAAGAAGGCUUCAAGCUGAAAUUCUAAGGCGAAGACGUCGAUCUACAAUGCUAUUGAUGCGAGCUACUUCAAGCUGAUUUCUCGAUGUGUGUCAGCUCCAAAGGCGUGGAGGACAUUGGAAAACAUGUUUGAAGGUACUUCAAGUGUCAAGCGAACCAAGCUGGAUAUGUUAGUAUCUAGAUUUGAAAAGAUAAGGAUGGAUGAAGAAGAAAUCCUGGCUCAGUUUAGUGCCAAGUUGUGUGACAUAUCUAAUGAGUGGUUUUCGCUUGGGAAGCAGUUCAAGGACAAGAAGCUGGUGAAGAAAUUGAAAAGGUCGCUGCCAGUGAAGCUUGAGUCAAAGAUUUCUGCUGUAGAAGAAGCUCAUAAUCUGGAUGAGAUGUCUUUUGAUGAGUUUUUUUGGGAUUCUCCAAGCCUUUGAGUUGAGCAAGGCGUAUGGAGAUAAAGAUAAGAAGAAGGAUAAGGAUAAGGAGACAGAAGAUUCUUAUGGUGUUGCUUUGAAAGUCUCACCUUCUGAAGAUCCUAUGGCGAUGCUGUCAAGAAAUCUUGCUGAGUAUCUGAAGCAACAGCGAGACAGAAGAGACAAUGGAAAAAGAGGUGGUUCGAGAAGAUCACCAUCAAAGGUACGGUGCUAUGAGUGCAAUGGGAUUGGACAUGUUCAUUUGGAAUGUCCAAAUUUACAGAGGCACAAUAAGAAGAUGAACAAUAAGAGUGACUCUGAUACUGAUUCAGAUCAUGGUGAGGAUCUGAAGAACUUUGUGGCGUUUACAACCUUGGGUUCUGUGAAGAAGUUUGCAGUGGAAUAUGUGUCAUCGUCUGUGUCAUCAUCUGUGUCAGGGUCCACACGUGGAGAUGAUGAUGUUGCUGGAAGUGAGGAUGAUGCUAGCCUUUGUUUGGCAAGCAGCUGUAAGUUUUCGAUGAAAUUAUUAAUACUGUCUUAGAAAAAUUCAUGAUUUUUAUUCUUCCAACAAUUCAAAUCAAAAGAUCAAAAAAUCUUGACGUAGGAAGGAACUCUCAAUUCAAACAUUGAAUUUUUUUGGUAGCCAUACUAAAUCUGGAUCAUUUGAUUUCCUCAGUUUUAUCCUCUUUUCUCUAAAUGAAAGAACUUAAUUAGAUUCGAGUUCACUAACAAAAAAAGUAUCUAGAUAUUUAGUAUAAAAAUAGAGAAUCUAUUCUCUUUUUUUUUUUUUUAAAGUAAGAUCUGAGGGUUUCGAUCUGGCUAAGAAGUUUGAGACAUUGUAUGCGCAAUUGCUAACGAUGGUUGAGGAGAAUUCCGUUUUGGAUAAGGAGAAAGUCAAACUAGAGGCUCAGAUUGGUGAAGCAUUGAAACAUGCUUCAGAGAAAGAAGAAGAAGCAAGACAAGCUAGAGUUCAACUUGAAGAAACUCAGAAAGGUCUGAGGAUGCUUAAUAUUGGUACAAAUAUGUUGGAUCAUCUUCUCAGCAUUGGGCAAAGUGAUCGGUGUGGUCUCGGGUUCAAGGGUAAAUCUUCUAAAGGUGGAUGUGUUUUUGUGUCUGCUGGUGCGACAGAGAACAUAGCGACAUAUGCUACAAAACCAGCUGUUAAGAGUUCAAGAGGAACUGUAACAGACGGUAAAGCUGCGAUUGAUGAUGUGAAGGUUGCGACUGCUACUGCGACUGCAGCAAAGGCUGCUACUGUGACUGUCCCAAGGACUGGUGAAGUGACUGUUGCAAGGGCUGCGACAGCGACUGCUGCAAGGGGUGCGACAGCGACUGCUGCAAGGAAAACUCUAUAAGUGAAGAGUGCACCUCGACGAGCUUGUGUUCUUGUUUGUCAUCAUUGUGGAGUUCGUGGUCAUAUUAGGCCAAGGUGCUUCUUGCUGUUGAGGGAGAAACAUCAGAUGAAGCAAACAUAUGGUAUGAGGUUUCAUAAUCCAGUAUGUUAUUGUGAAGCUGAAGGUCAUGUUCAGCGUGGUGGGCUUAAUUCUGGUCAUAGAGCUAAUCAUGGAGGGAUAAGGCUCAUGGAUACGUGGUUUGGAAGAUCUGGUCAUUAUGGAGAUGGUGGAAUGGGUUUCUAUCCUCAGUAUGGAGGAUGGCGAUCAUCUUCAUAUUAGUUUUUGACCAUGAUGUGACUCAAAAGGGGAGAUUGAAGAUGCUGCUUCAUGCCUGAGUUGUUGAGUUCACAUGCAUAGUCAAAAAGGGGGAGAUUGUAGAUGAUAUUUCCAGAGAGAUUCUGAUGUAGUUUGUGAUGUACAUUAGAAGGUGUGUCAAGACGUAUGUCAAGACGUACGGCAGGACGUCGAGUGGAGAAGUUUCUUACAAGGAGAUUGUCUAAGGUGAUUGCGUGUGUAAGUGGAGAUUGGAAAAGGAAAUAGAAUAUCUUGUUGAAGACAAAUGACGUUUUUCAUUAAGCAAAGAGGUUUUGCUUGGAGAAGAAGUGUUACCUGGAGAGGAAUAGGAAGUUUUCUUAUAUGGGAAUGCAAGUUCAUUAAGGUGCAUUUAAUGAACUUGGAGAGCAAGUCUACGGUUUAUAUAUAAGGAGGGACGUGCCCUUAUGAGAAAGACAUCACCCAAGAUUAAAGUGAGAGAAAGUUUCAUUGUGUUCUUGGUGAGUGUUUGACGGAGUGUCUGACGUAGUGUCUGACGGAGUGUUCCGCUGUACUUGGUGUUGUGAUGUUGGUGCUGGUGUUACGUGUAGCGGAGUUGUCCGUUGUGGUGUGGUGAUCAAUCUGUACGUUGGUGUUGGUGUGCUCGUUGGUAUCCUUGGUGUGCGUUAGGUUCUGACGUACUCGGUUAGGAAUGGGCAUUCAGGGUCCCACUCGGGUUUCGGUUUUAUCCAUUCGGGUUUUGGUUUUUCGGGUUUAUCAAAAUCAGCUCCAUUCGGGUUAUAUAAAAGUUCGGAACCGGUUUGGGUGGGGGUUAGUAAAUCUUGAAAGAACCGGUAUAACCCAUUGUACUUUCGGGUUUGGGUCCCAAUCGGUUCUUUGGUUUAAAAAUACCUUAUUUGUACCUAUUUUGUAACUAAAACAUAAAUGAAAUCGGCUCUUUGGAUUUAAAAUAGAUGAUUUGUACAUAUUUUAAUAGCCAAAACAUAAGUAAAAUCGAUUUAAAAAUAAGAAAAAACAUCAAACGUGAUCAUUCAAAAUCAAGGGAAAGAUAAACAUUGUUAGUGAUAGAAAGAAAACGAGAUAAAUGAAAUCAUAAAACAAAAACUAAGUUCUCAUGAAAUGAGAAACAUUAUUCAAUGAAAACAAAACCAAAAUCUAAAAACUUCAGGCUUCAACCGCCACAUUCCACCGUCAACCUUCAUGUAAUAGAUAAUUAUUUUAGAAGUUCAAUAAUAUCUUAAAGUAUUUUGGAUACAUAUUAAGAAUUAAGAUCAUAUUUGGUAGAAGUUUUUUUUUUGUGAUUUUAAAUGUUUCAGGUUCUAUCGGAUAAUACCCAUAACCCAAAAUACCAAAAAACAAGAUCCAUUUGGUAUUUAUGUCGGGUUCGGAUCGGUUCGGAUUCAUUUUUAUCGGAUCGGGUUUUGUUCGGAUUUUUGGGUUCGGUUUAUUUGCCCAGCCCUAUACUCGGUGAUGUACUUGGGUGAAGUACUUGGUGACGUACCUUCAAAGACUUGGAGGUUGAAGCCUAGACUCAGGGGGAGUUUAGCUCAAGGUUGGUUAACCUUGAAGAG
rnacentral:lncRNA from 1 species